GGUCUCCGUUACUACGGCAACGGAGAGAAAAGAACGACUUAAGAAGCAUCCUUUGAAGAGAGCAUGCGCAAAAGGUUCCUUUCCCCUGUAUCUAUGAUAUAUGGGGAAGCUUAUUGGUUAGGAUUGAGACCAAUGGAAUGGCUUCUUUAAAGAACAACGAACAACUAUGUGGAGCUACAGUCCUGUCAGCAGUGCAGCUGAGGAAGAAUGAAAUGAUACAUUCACCUUCCCUGGACUUUAGCUAUAACUGAAAGUAUAUUCAGACAAUGUCCUUUACCUCAGAUGCUGCUGUGGAAUCGUUCUAGAAGACCAUUAUUGUUUUUCAUUAUUAAAUGUGGAUUACAGCCUUCUUGCAUAUAUGCUCCCCUUACCAUUUUAUCAUUGCAGCAAUCCUAUGAGAAUUGUAAAGUGCCUGGAGAUGUGGUUUAUAAAUCCAAUAAACCAACAAACUGGAGGUUUGAAGUCUGAUGAGGCCACAGGAAAGCAGGGAGGCAGCAGGAAAGCAGG